AUUGAACGCUGGCGGCAGGCCUAACACAUGCAAGUCGAGCGGAGCGGCGGACGGGCGAGUAAUGACUAGGAAUCUGCCUGGUAGCGGGGGCUAACGUCCGGAAACGGGCGCUAAUACCGCAUACUAUCAGAUGAGCCUAGGUCGGAUUAGCUAGUUGGUGGUGUAAAGGCCUACCAAGUCGACGAUCCGUAACUGGUCUGAGAGGAUGAUCAGUCACACUGGAACUGAGACACGGUCCAGAGUCCUACGUGAGGCAGCAGGGGGGAAGCUUGGACAAUGGGCGAAAGCCUGAUCCAGCCAUGCCGCGGGUGUGAAGAAGGUUUUCGGAUUGUAAAGCACUUUAAGUUGGGAGGCGUUACCAACAGAAUAAGCACCGGCUAACUUCGUGCCAGCAGCCGCGGUAAUUC
rnacentral:rRNA from 1 species